CAGAAAACACUUAAGCAAUGUCGUAUAGACCAGUGAACGCGCAUAUGACUAACUCUUGAAUUUUUUCCUUUAGGUUUGCCACUUCCGUAUUAGUUGCACCCAUUUUAGGAGAUAAAUAUAAGUGAGAUGAUUGUUCUUUCAUAUCAAUUAUUAUAAGCAAUAUCUUAUCUAAACUUAAUAUACACAACGAACGAGAAGCUGAAGAAGUGUAAUAAGUUAAAAUGAUUUCACUACGUGUUGUUAUGUUUUUUGUUUUAUUGGUAGUUUUGGCUGUUGUUGUUCAAGAGUCAAAUGCUAUGGUUAUACCCUUUAGACUUUGUGGCGACGGACUAAAAAUGGUCAGAGGAAGAUGUAGGGUGGUUUAUUCUUAAGAAACUUUGAUCAACAUCAAGAGGAUAUGCAUUAAUUAAAUAAUAUUAUAUUUUAGAAUUUUAUGUAUGUAUUUUCAUAUAAAAUAAAAUUUAGUAUAUAUUUAGAGUACACAAUGUUAAUAUAAACAACAAAUCUAGAGAAUAAAAUUUUUUAUUAUAA
rnacentral:lncRNA from 1 species